rnacentral:rRNA from 1 species
GACGAACGCUGGCGGCGUGCUUAACACAUGCAAGUCGAACGGAAAGGCCCUGCUUUUGUGGGGUGCUCGAGUGGCGAACGGGUGAGUAACACGUGAGUAACCUGCCCUUGACUUUGGGAUAACUUCAGGAAACUGGGGCUAAUCCCGGAUAGGAGCUCCUGCUGCAUGGUGGGGGUUGGAAAGUUUCGGCGGUUGGGGAUGGACUCGCGGCUUAUCAGCUUGUUGGUGGGGUAGUGGCUUACCAAGGCUUUGACGGGUAGCCGGCCUGAGAGGGUGACCGGCCACAUUGGGACUGAGAUACGGCGCAGACUCCUACGGGAGGCAGCAGUGGGGAAUAGUGCACAAUGGGCGGAAGCCUGAUGCAGCAACGCCGCGUGCGGGAUGACGGCCUUCGGGUUGUAAACCGCUUUCGCCUGUGACGAAGCGUGAGUGACGGUAAUGGGUAAAGAAGCACCGGCUAACUACGUG